UGCAGUCGACGAACUCUGGUAUUGAUUGGUGCUUGCAUCAUGAUUUACAUUUGAGUGAGUGGCGAACUGGUGAGUAACACGUGGGAAACCUGCCCAGAAGCGGGGGAUAACACCUGGAAACAGAUGCUAAUACCGCAUAACAACUUGGACCGCAUGGUCCGAGUUUGAAAGAUGGCUUCGGCUAUCACUUUUGGAUGGUCCCGCGGCGUAUUAGCUAGAUGGUGGGGUAACGGCUCACCAUGGCAAUGAUACGUAGCCGACCUGAGAGGGUAAUCGGCCACAUUGGGACUGAGACACGGCCCAAACUCCUACGGGAGGCAGCAGUAGGGAAUCUUCCACAAUGGACGAAAGUCUGAUGGAGCAACGCCGCGUGAGUGAAGAAGGGUUUCGGCUCGUAAAACUCUGUUGUUAAAGAAGAACAUAUCUGAAAGUAACUGUUCAGGUAUUGACGGUAUUUAACCAGAAAGCCACGGCUAACUACGUGCCAGCAGCCGCGGUAAUACGUAGGUGGCAAGCGUUGUCCGGAUUUAUUGGGCGUAAAGCGAGCGCAGGCGGUUUUUUAAGUCUGAUGUGAAAGCCUUCGGCUCAACCGAAGAAGUGCAUCGGAAACUGGGAAACUUGAGUGCAGAAGAGGACAGUGGAACUCCAUGUGUAGCGGUGAAAUGCG
rnacentral:rRNA from 1 species